GUGCGGAAACGGUAAGAAGGGUAUACCCUUGCUUUCACACGGCAGGGGUCACAGGUUCAAUCCCUGUGCCGCCCA
rnacentral:tRNA from 1 species